CGUGUAGGCGGUUAGUUAAGUCUGAUGUGAAAGCCCCGGGCUCAACCUGGGAAGUGCAUUGGAUACUGGCAAACUUGAGUACGGGAGAGGGAAGUGGAAUUUCGAGUGUAGGGGUGAAAUCCGUAGAUAUUCGAAGGAACACCAGUGGCGAAGGCGGCUUCCUGGACCGAUACUGACGCUGAGACGCGAAAGCGUGGGGAGCAAACAGGAUUAGAUACCCUGGUAGUCC
rnacentral:rRNA from 1 species